GAUGAACGCUGGCGGCGUGCCUAAUACAUGCCAGUCGAGCGAACGGACGAGAAGCUUGCUUCUCUGAUGUUAGCGGCGGACGGGUGAGUAACACGUGGAUAACCUACCUAUAAGACUGGGAUAACUUCGGGAAACCGGAGCUAAUACCGGAUAAUAUUUUGAACCGCAUGGUUCAAAAGUGAAAGACGGUCUUGCUGUCACUUAUAGAUGGAUCCGCGCUGCAUUAGCUAGUUGGUAAGGUAACGGCUUACCAAGGCAACGAUGCAUAGCCGACCUGAGAGGGUGAUCGGCCACACUGGAACUGAGACACGGUCCAGACUCCUACGGGAGGCAGCAGUAGGGAAUCUUCCGCAAUGGGCGAAAGCCUGACGGAGCAACGCCGCGUGAGUGAUGAAGGUCUUCGGAUCGUAAAACUCUGUUAUUAGGGAAGAACAUAUGUGUAAGUAACUGUGCACAUCUUGACGGUACCUAAUCAGAAAGCCACGGCCAACUACGUG
rnacentral:rRNA from 1 species